GUAAUAUAAGUUACAGUCUCUUAACUUUUAACUAAAAAAACUAAGAGACGUCUCUUAAAUAAGAGAUUUAAGAGACGUCUUUUUUAGUUAAAAGCUAAGAGACUGUAUCUUAUAUUAC
rfam:Brassica oleracea var. oleracea cultivar TO1000 chromosome C3, whole genome shotgun sequence